rnacentral:rRNA from 1 species
AAUGAACGCUGGCGGCGCGCCUAAUACAUGCAAGUCGAGCGAGAAGACGUAGCAAUACGUUUGUAAAGCGGCGAACGGGUGAGGAAUACAUGGGUAACCUACCCUCGAGUGGGGAAUAACUAGCCGAAAGGUUAGCUAAUACCGCGUACGCUUCUUGGACUUCGGUUCAGGGAGGAAAGCGAUACCGUGGGUAUCGCGCUCUUAGUUGGGCUCAUGUCCUAUCAGCUUGUUGGGAGGUAACGGCUCACCAAGGCUUCGACGGGUAGCUGGUCUGAGAGGACGAUCAGCCACACUGGCACUGCGACACGGGCCAGACUCCUACGGGAGGCAGCAGUAAGGAUAUUGCGCAAUGGGCGAAAGCCUGACGCAGCGACGCCGCGUGGGGGAUGAAAGUCUUCGG